GGUAUUUACAAUUGCUCAGUUGGUAGAGUGUUGGACUCAUAAUUCAGUGUUUAUGGGUUCAGGACCUGCUUAGGCCA